CAGGUGUAUCGGUGAACAAACAGGCCUCUGUUGUGUGGUGAAAGAGGCCACGCUGCUUUUAAGAGCUCACUUUUAUCACCUCUGCACUGAAGGCUGAUGGAGUCUGUCAUUUUUGGGGUGGUAUGCAGAUUCACAGAUAGCAAAAGGCACAGUCCAGAGGGUGUUUUGUCAUAUUGUCGUCCUGUGUGAGAUCAGACUGCACACAUGAGCAUCCCAGUCUAUUACCACCAUCUGCUGGUGACACACAGGACAGUGGCAA